rnacentral:rRNA from 1 species
GACGAACGCUGGCGGCGUGCUUAACACAUGCAAGUCGAACGCUGAAGCUCAGCUUUUGUUGGGUGGAUGAGUGGCGAACGGGUGAGUAACACGUGAGUAACCUGCCUCCUUCUUUGGGAUAACGCCCGGAAACGGGUGCUAAUACUGGAUAUUCACUGGUCUUCGCAUGGGGGUUGGUGGAAAGGGUUUUUCUGGUGGGGGAUGGGCUCGCGGCCUAUCAGCUUGUUGGUGGGGUGAUGGCCUACCAAGGCUUUGACGGGUAGCCGGCCUGAGAGGGUGACCGGUCACAUUGGGACUGAGAUACGGCCCAGACUCCUACGGGAGGCAGCAGUGGGGAAUAAUGCACAAUGGGCGCAAGCCUGAUGCCGCGACGCCGCGUGAGGGAUGGAGGCCUUCGGGUUGUGAACCUCUUUCGCUCAUGGUCAAGCCGCAACAAUGGUUGUGGUGAGGGUAGUGGGUAAAGAAGCGCCGGCUAACUACGUG